rnacentral:rRNA from 1 species
GUCUACGGCCAUGCUACCCUGAACAAGCCAGAUCCCAUCUGAUCUCAGAAGCUAGGUAGAGCCGGGCCUGGUUAGUACUUGAAUGAGAGACCACCUAAGAAGACCAAGUGCUACAGGCA